rnacentral:rRNA from 1 species
AUGGACUUUGUGGAAGGGCUGCCAAAAUCUGAGCACAAGGACAUGAUACUGGUUGUAGUUGAUCGUUUCACUAAAUAUGCUCACUUUGUAGCCAUGAGACACCCCAUCACUGUCAAGACAGUAGCCCAAGCUUUCACUGACAACAUAUUCAGAUUACAUGGACUGCCUACAGUGAUAGUAACUGACAGAGAUAGAAUAUUCACUAGUCAUCUCUGGCAACACUUGUUCAACAAAAUGGGAGUUAAAUUACACAUGACUACUUCCUACCACCCCCAAUCUGAUGGGAAAACAGAAAGAGUUAAUCCAUGCCUUGAGAAUUAUUUAAGAUGCAUGGCUUUUGCUCAUCCCAAGAAAUGGCAUACUUGGCUUUCAAUGGCUGAAUGGUGGUACAACACCACCUUCCAUACAUCACUGAAAAUGACUCCUUUUCAAGCUCUGUAUGCCAGACCCCCUCCAAUGAUUGCUGAAUUGAUGUUACCACCAGUGGAAGGUGAGGAUCACCAAGCUGAAUUGGACAGGGACACAAUAGCCCAACAGAUCAAGGACAAUUUACUUAAAGCACAAGAGAGAAUGAAGUUCUUUGCUGACAAGAAACGAUCUGAGAGACAACUUGCUGUGGGUGAUAUGGUCUAUGUUAAAUUGCAACCAUACAGACACACCAGCUUGAGCAUACACAGACACCUAAAACUUCACUCCAAAUACUAUGGACCCUUCCGAGUCAUGGAGAGAAUUGGAGCCGUUGCUUAUAGGCUCCUCCUGCCCGAGGGUUGUCAGCUUCACCCCACCUUUCAUGUAAGCCAACUCAAGAAGCACCUUGGUCCCGAAGCUGUACCUAACCCCAAAUUGCCCCUAUUGGAUGAACAUGGUAACAUCCUCAUUCAGCCUGAAGCACUGCUUGAACGACGACUAAUCCCACGAGUCCAGGGAGACAUUAGCAUUCCAGUCAUGCAGUGGCGCAUCAAGUGGCUCAACCUACCAGUGGAAAAUGCCACCUGGGAAGAUGCGGCUUUUAUUCAAAAAAAUUUCCCUGCUUUUCAUCCUUGA